GGUCAGUGAUGAACAGUAAAAGGUCUGAUUACCCACAAUCCCCUCCUGCUGCCCUCUGGCUCCCAGCAGCACCUGCUCUCUCUUCCAUCAUUGCUCUAGUGAGGCAGUGGUGGUAUCAGGAGCUGCUGACAUGCAGGAAGUGACAUCACAGUGUGAGUCUGUACAGAGAUCCUAUAGGCUCAGAGUGAUUGACAUCCAACAGAACCAAUCACCAAGGAGUGUCAGGCAGAGGAGGAGGAGGGAGAUGAUCUCAAGUUUUCAACCUGAGACC